UGGGUCCAGGGUAGUUUGGACGUCUUUUUAGCCAGCAAUCUUCAUGAUGUAUUAUUGUCUAUCUUCCCUCCACCUUUUGUUCCUUUUUUUUUUUUUUUUUGGUAGAUCUCACUGAUGGGCCUGAGUUAAUCCUGUACCACCACCACCACCACCAUCAUCAUCAUUUCUCUCCCUUGAAGCCCUCUGUGGAACAAGACACAUCUCAAAGCUUCUGGCUGUUUCUUCUGCAUCUCAGAACUAAUUUCAGAAAUCACUGGUGCACCAAGUUCACCAAAUCUCUGGGGAGAGGAGACGCCAACCUGAGGAGCAACGUUGGUUGUAAAGGUAGAUAAUCAAGAACUUGGCCACACCCACCAUCCCUGUGGCCUCACUUUGGUUCAUCCUCAUUCAUUCUGUCUCGAGAUGCAAUUUCUUGUCCAAAUCCAUUGCCUUGCUCUUUUGGGGGUGAUAACUUCUGUUCAGGCCUUCUCAGACAUUGCUUCUAUUUAUUUCACAAUCUGGAGCAACUGAGGGUGGUCCCUUGGGUGGAAGAUAAAUCAGAAUUCACUCAGAACCAAAGAGGCAGGGUGAUAUAAGAGAGGGUUCUUUUUAUCUGUGCUUGUGUUUGCUUUGGUGGUACAUAUACUUAAAAUGAUUUUAAGCAUUAAAUCAUGCAUGCAAGGCAG
rnacentral:lncRNA from 1 species